GCCUAGUACGCAAGGAAUGGUCUCAGCGAUGCUCGACUAUAUUGGCCCCAUCGACGUAAUCAACUUCUGGCUGCUGCAAAGAAGGAAAAAACAAAAGGUUGGGGAUUAA
rnacentral:rRNA from 1 species